UUAACUCUGCCUUAAAAUGGCCUUUCUCCAGCAUUUACCAAAAAACUGAGCUGCUUCUCAGUGAGUAACUAGAAGAAAUGCUCUGGCUUCCAGCAGGGGGAGCUCUAACUCUGGAAACACUUCAGUGGCUCCUCAAAGCUGUCUUGGUGGAGGAGCAUCUAUUUCUCCAGAGUGGACAUGGGUCUGUCCAGAGUGUCUCCAGAUUGGCUUUUACUACUGCCCUGCCUGAAAAUCUGCUCACUCACAAAAAGCUCAUGCUCCACAUGGGCAUCAGAGGUCGUUACUGAGGGCACAUGCUGGGUGUCAGAUUUCCUGGUCCCAGCUGUGAACCAGACCCAUUACUCCAUUGCCACACAUCUGGUUUCCAAAGGAAGAAGCCACAGAAGUGAUGGGAACUGCAGCGUCAGAGAGCCUCGCUCCAUGAUCUAAAGCUUGGCGAUCCCACCCUCUCAGACACAAGGAACACUUACUGAGCAGCCUUUAGAGCUAGGAAGCUCAGUCACAUUGCCACAGAACAGCCUAUGCAAAUAAUUUCCCCAAAUGACCGGACUAAAAAACAUUUUGCCAGAA